rnacentral:lncRNA from 1 species
GGAAGGAUCAUAUUUCCUGAAAGAAAGGAUCAUAAGCACUAUUGUUUUCUUUAAGGAAGAAACUCACAGAGCCAAAAGGAUUCUUCUCAUAUAAUGAAAAAAUGAUACCCUGAAAUCUUCACUGAUGUCCCUUUUAACACAAAAUAAGCUUGCAUAAUGUGCAUGAUGGCACAUCCACAGGUGCAUAGCUUCUGGUUAGUGUCAAUGUAGAGAUUGUUUCCCCUUUGUUGUAGGACUA